AAUCGUCCGUGAUGAUAACGUAUCCAGCACGAGUAAUAAAUGCAAUCUUAAUGCUUUUGGUCUGUUAUUUCGGCACUUGAAGAAUUGAGGAAUGGACAGGAUUUUGUUCUGCGUUAUGUUUGUCGCUUUGUGCUUUGUCAUGACAGGUGAUCCUGUGGACGGCGUCCGCUGCUAUAAAUGUGCAGAAUCCGCAAACACAUCUAAUGCCUGUACUGAUCCAUUUAACCCGAAAGGACCUGGUGUCGAAAUAGAGGACUGUCAGAAAUGCUAUCAUUUUGUCAACAAGUUCUCUUUUGGUAGAGGCUGCUCACCUUCCGAUAUAUCGAUCGACAACGGAUGUGCAACGGACGAAGGUACAGAUUGGUGUGUAUGCAAUGCGGAUCUCUGUAACACCGCCUCGUCAAACAACUAUUGGUCUACGCUUUUGUCAGUUGUCCUCGUAUUGUUAAUCUUUUUCAGUCUAGCAUUUACAUAAAUUAUUGAAAACCACUCAGCUUGUUGGUGUUCGUAGUAGUACAUACUAAAUACAGAUACUUUCAAGUACACGUUUUGCAUUAUUAAAAUGCAUUGGUCAUAUUUAUUAUAACCCACAAAGCUUAUCAUAAAUGGAAAAUAAAACAUGCUUAUUUUGCUAUAA